AGAGGACGACCAGCCACACUGGAACUGAGACACGGUCCAGACACCUACGGGUGGCAGCAGUCGAGGAUUUUUCUCAAUGGGGGCAACCCUGAAGGAGCGACGCCGCGUGGAGGAUGAAGGGCUUCGGCUUGUAAACUCCUGUCACCGACGAACAAGGCAUCCGGUUGAACAUUCCGGGUGAUUGAUGGUAGUCGGAGAGGAAGGGGCGGCUAACUCUGUGCCAGCAGCCGCGGUGAUACAGAGGCCCCGAGCGUUGUUCGGAUUUACUGGGCGUAAAGGGUGUGUAGGGGGUCGGGUAAGUUUGACGUGAAAGCCCGCUGCUUAACAGCGGAACGGCGUCGAAUACUGCCCGGCUGGAGGUUCGGAGAUGAGAGCGGAAUUCUCGGUGUAGCGGUGAAAUGCGUAGAUAUCGAGAGGAACGCCGACGGCGAAAGCAGCUCUCAAGACGACACCUGACCCUGAGACACGAAGGCCAGGGGAGCAAACGGGAUUAGAUACCCCGGUAGUCCUGGCAGUAAACGGUGCUCAUUAGACGUGGGCGGAUUCGACCCCGCCCGUGUCGAACCUAACGGAUUAAAUGAGCCGCCUGGGAAGUACGGUCGCAAGAUUAAAACUCAAAGAAAUUGACGGGGGCCCGCACAAGCGGUGGAGUAUGUGGCUUAAUUCGAUGCAACGCGAAGAACCUUACCUGGCCUUGACAUGCUGAGUUCAGGCGUGGAAACACGCUGGCCCGCAAGGGCGAUCUGCACAGGUGCUGCAUGGCUGUCGUCAGCUCGUGUCGUGAGAUGUUGGGUUAAGUCCCGCAACGAGCGCAACCCUCGUGACUAGUUAAUCCCGGGCAACCGGAUUCUGGUCAGACUGCCCUGUGAAACGGGGAGGAAGGUGGGGACGACGUCAAGUCCGUAUGGCCCUUACGGCCAGGGCUGCACACGUACUACAAUGCUCACUACAGAGGGACGCAAGACCGCAAGGUGGAGCCAAUCCCUAAAAGGUGAGCCCAGUUCGGAUUGGAGGCUGCAACUCGCCUCCAUGAAGCCGGAAUCGCUAGUAAUGGCGCAUCAGCUACGGCGCCGUGAAUACGUUCCCGGGCCUUGUACACACCGCCCGUCA
rnacentral:rRNA from 1 species